ACUACGACGUUGAUAGGCCGGGUGUGUAAGCGCAGCGAUGCGUUGAGCUAACCGGUACUAAUGACCCGUGAGGCUUAACCUU
rnacentral:rRNA from 1 species